AGCGGUGGAGCAUGGGGUUUAAUUCGAGGAAACGGCAAGAAACCUACCAACACUUGAACUCCAGGGAACUUGGCAGGGAUGCUUUGGGGCCUUCGGGAAAACUGAGACAGGUGCUGCAUGGAUGUCGUCAGCGCGUGUUGUGAAAUGUUUGGUUAAGUCCCGAAACGAGCGAAACCCUUAUCCUUUGUUGCCCGCGCGUGAUGGCGGGAACUCAAAAGGAGCUGCCGGUGAUAACCCGGGGGAAGGUGGGGAUGACGUCCAGUCAUCAUGGCCCUUAAGAGUAGGGCUACACACGUUCUACAAUGGCGUAUACAAAGGGAAGCGACCCCGGGAGGGCAAGCGGAACUCAUAAAGUACGUCGUAGUCCGGAUUGGAGGCUGCAACUCGACUCCAUGAAGUCGGAAUCGCUAGUAAUCGUAGAUCAGAAUGCUACGGUGAAUACGUUACCGGGCCUUGUACACACCGCCCGUCACACCAUGGGAGUGGGUUGCAAAAGAAGUAGGUAGCUUAACCUCCGG
rnacentral:rRNA from 1 species